AUGAACGCUGGCGGCGUGCCUAAUACAUGCAAGUCGAGCGAACAGACGAGGAGCUUGCUCCUCUGGCGUUAGCGGCGGACGGGUGAGUAACACGUGGAUAACCUACCUAUAAGACUGGGAUAACUUCGGGAAACCGGAGCUAAUACCGGAUAAUAUAUUGAACCGCAUGGUUCAAUAGUGAAAGACGGUUUUGCUGUCACUUAUAGAUGGAUCCGCGCCGCAUUAGCUAGUUGGUAAGGUAACGGCCUACCAAGGCAACGAUGCGUAGCCGACCUGAGAGGGUGAUCGGCCACACUGGAACUGAGACACGGUCCAGACUCCUACGGGAGGCAGCAGUAGGGAAUCUUCCGCAAUGGGCGAAAGCCUGACGGAGCAACGCCGCGUGAGUGAUGAAGGUCUUCGGAUCGUAAAACUCUGUUAUUAGGGAAGAACAAAUGUGUAAGUAACUAUGCACGUCUUGACGGUACCUAAUCAGAAAGCCACGGCUAACUACGUG
rnacentral:rRNA from 1 species